AAUGUCCUACGGGGCGCAGCAGUGAGGAAUAUUGGUCAAUGGUCGGGAGACUGAACCAGCCACGCCGCGUGAGGGAGGAAGGUACAGAGUAUCGUAACCCUCUUUUGUCGGGGAACAAAGGCGGGGACGUGUCCCCGGAUGAGUGUACCUGAAGAAAAAGCAUCGGCUAACUCCGUGCCAGCAGCCGCGGUAAUACGGAGGAUGCGAGCGUUAUCCGGAUUUAUUGGGUUUAACGGGUGCACAGGCGGUCUGUUAAGUCAGCGGUCAAAGCCCGGGGCUCACCCCCGGCCCGCCGUUGCAACUGG
rnacentral:rRNA from 1 species